AAUAUCCUAAUAGUCACUUAAGCUUUUAUCAUUUUUUUUUGUCAUUUAAACCUUUAAUAAUUAAAAAAAAAAAAAAAAAAGCAUAAAGAGACUCAAAUUAUCUAAAAAUGGUGAUCACGUGCCAUUCACAUGAUCGACAGACGUUAAAUUGGUGCCCCUAUAGCUCAUGCUCUCUCCCUCUCCCUCUCAAUUCUUGUUCCUUUCGCUCUCUCCCUCUUCCCCUCAAUUUUGCCUUCUUUUUCUUCACUUUCCCCCUUUUAAAUAUGCCUUUUUAUUGUAUCGAAAGUACGAGAUGCAUACACUCCAACAACUAAACAAUAAUCUAUGAGUUGCAGAAGUUGUGGAGAGCGCCACUAGUGCUGGUGGAUGAGGGAAGGUCUCCUUCAAAGUGACACUUACCUUUUAUCCCAAUCUCCCUUUCAAGAUGUGUAUUGCUUUGAAGGAGCAAGAAAUUCAGAUUAUGAUGGAUUUGCGUUGGAAUUUUGUGUUAGGUAGCUUAAUCAGUUUUGGGAAGUUCCAUUGAAAUUGAGUUGUGCUUUCAAUGUGGGUAUCAAUAUUUCUGGAAGUUAUACGAGGGGAGGAAAUUUGUUUUGCUAGUUUGAGUGAA